CGGUUUGUUGAUGUUGAUGGUGAUGAUGAUGCUGCUCAUCGGUUCCCCUCAUUGGAUUUCUACCAGGAGAUUCCAUAACAGAACGGAAGCCCAUGCCAAGCAACGGUCCAGGACCCGGUCCAGGUCCAGUGCUAGAGGGAGAAGUUAACCGACUUCCGCUGUUGGAAGCUUCCCCUUUCACACCACUCCCUGCAGCAUCCUUCUUUCUAUCAAGCUGAAACGUACCAAGAAUCACCUGUUUUUGCACAAACCCCAAGGCGAUCAAUCUAAAGCCAUAACUUACUAAUAUAACACAUGAACCAAAAAAUGAAAGUUGCAAUUAUGAUACAAGAGGAGUUUUACCUGAACCGGACCAGAAGCUGUCAAGUGAGUCCCAACAGCUCCGCCGAUGAUCUGACCAUCAGAUCUAGAUAAAGAAACGCAAAGUCCACCGGUUUUCCCACCUUGUUCAGAUCGGAUAAAUGAUCCGGAUAGUGAGAUAAUCUCGUAAUGACCCUGAAUAAAUAAUCGAAAUUGAAGCAAGUCAAACAACUAUAUACAAACAUCAAAGAAAAGCAAGUCUAAAUAAAGAAUACUUGACUUAAUUCUUCUCUAGCACACAGAACAGAGAAGAUCAGGGAGAAAGAAAGUAAAUUCAUCUAGCCUUUGGGAAGAAAUAUCACCUCAUAAGAUAUGUUGCCUCCUGGCUGACGCAAGGAUGCAGUAGAGAUGGUGCCAGAUGCAGAUAGAACGCAUAGCUCAUGCUUGCUUUGCUGUGCAAACAUCACAAUCUUCUGAGCCACAUCCUGUCACCAGAGAACCACUUCAAAAGCGUUAAAAGAUUCCUCUAUGCACUCACAUCAAUUAAAACAAAAGGCAGUAUAUUUCCUCUAUUAGCUUUUAGCAUCACAACUUGGACAGUAGAUUUACAGACAAUGCUAUAGAUUAUCCUAAUCAGAAAAUAUAUAGAGUGAGACAUACCUCACCAGGAGCUAUGUUAACGAUAUGCGGAGUAAAGCUUUGCCCAGUUUUCCCUGCAACCCAAAAAUUCAAGAAAAGUGAUGCACUGUUACAGAACCUCUCUAACCAAUGUUUCACUGCAUCUAUUGAAGCAUAAAGCUAACAUUUUUCUAAUCAUUAUCAACUAAACCAUCAAAAUUCAAUAGAAAGAUUGAAACUUUACAAUCAAUGAGCAUCAGAUUAGGAGAAACACGAAAGAGGGUUCUCACCGACGGAGCCAAGGUGAGAUUUUUUCGAUGGCCCGGCACUAGACGACGCAGCCGCUUGCUCUCUCCUCUCCUUAGCAGACGAGCUGCUCGCGGCGGACGCCAUUUUCUUCUGUAACAAUAUUUUGUUAUUUUUUAACAAAAUAACAGUUUGAAAAUAAAGUAUCAUAUUAAUGUGUUAAAGGCUAUGGCACACAUGUAUAAUUUAACAAUAUAAUAAAUUCAAUACAAUUAUACAAAUACUUUACUAAUCAUUUUUUAAAAUUACGCAAAUACGUUUGUUGAUAAAAACACAAGUAUGAUUACAAAAAAUACAUAUAUAUUACAAAGAAUUAAACAAAUAUAUAAAUUUAAUUUUAAAUAAUAUAUACAAAACAAAUAAUAUACCCGCCCUCACUCUCUAGUGUAGACUUAAAAUCACCAAAAAAUAAUAUAUAAAAUUAAAUAUUAUUAAAUCUAAUAAAACUGGAACAAGAAAAAUAAAUCUAAUAAUAUUAUGUUAUUUUUUCGCUGAAAAUGCGAAAGCAUUACGUAUAUAUAGUUUCGGACCAACCAAUCCCCAAACUAGGCUUCUCAUCAUCGUAUAACAAGAGAACAACAACAACAACAAAACUAGACUUCUCAUCAUCAUCUUACAAGUAUCACCACUUUGGUUUCCUUCAUUUCUUGAUUCUUGAAUCAUCUUCAAGAUUCUCAAAACUUGUUUCUUCCCUCUGAGCUUUGCUUCAAACUUCACUCGCUUGCGCUCUGUAAAGCCCUUCUAAGCUCAGAAGCCAUGACAUGCAAAAGAACAGGUUUCUGAAUCAUACCAUUCAUCCCCAUUUGCAAACACCUCUCCCUAACAUGAUCCUCAGUACUCGCAGUCAAAGCUAUAAUCAAAGGCCAAUGAUGUCCACAAAACUUCCUUAUCUUCAUCGCUACUUCGAAACCAUCCAUCUCAGGCAUCUGCAGAUCCAAUAUCACAACCCUAUACGACAUUUCCACAUUAGACAAGGCACUCAAACACUCGAAACCAGAAGACACAGCUGUCACUUCGCAUCCAAGUUUCUCUAAAAGCCUCUUGGUUACGGUUCUGUUCACAUCGUCAUCAUCUGCUAGAGUGAUUCUUAGACCACGAAGAAUCGAGUUUGAGUUUGGAUGUUGAAGCUCUGGAGCGUUUCCUGCUAAGAUUGAUCUUCUAAUAGAAGGUCUUGUCUGAAACCUCAGAACCAGUUGCAUACUCUGUGUUUGUCCAUGAGACUUUGGUGAUAUCCAUAUGUUCCCUUGCAUCAUCUGCAGACAAAUAUCAAAUUACAUAUUAGGCUGGGCAUUUUUAUCCCAAACCAAAACCGAACCUUAAUCCGAACCGAAAAAACGAAAGCCUAUCCGCUAUAAAAAAUAUCCGAACGAAAUUUAAGAGCUAGCUAAUUUUGGGUUCGAAACUUAAGAAUCCGAACCGAAAUCCAAAUUAGGAUCUGAAAAAAUCCGAAAUUAGUUAAAUAUAUAAUGCUUUUAGAUAUUUUAAAGCAUUUUAAAGAUUCUUGUAGUUUGUUCUAUUUGUUAUUUUCAAUACUUAUUAGGUAGUUUAACUAGUUUUUGACUUUUUGUAUAGAUUUUGAAUAAUUUAUAUAUUUUGAGUCUUUUUGGUCAAUUUUUUAAUUUAAAGAAAAAAAAUUUUGAACAAUUUCAGACAUCGGUUAUAACCUGACCCAAACUGAAUCCGGAAGGAUCCAAACUGAAACUGAUCCAAAAAUUAUUGAAAAUUGAACUUAUGAACAUAGUACCGAAAAUCCAAACACCCAUGCCUAUCACAUAUACAGAGACUGUAUUAGAAAAAUAAAAACAGAUGUAUAUAUGUGAUUCACUAACCUGUGCAAGUUUUCUACACAUGCCUAAGCUCAAGCCUUCUUUAAUCCCAUUGCUAUGAUACCUUCUGUUUGUAACAUGCCUCAUUGCAAUCACCGAACCAUCCAACGGAGGACUCUUAAUCUCAUUAAUCUCAACUUCAAACUUAACACCGAGCGAAUCAUCAGACAAAUGAGACUUCCACAUCCCACUCUCUCUCUUGUUCUUGUCCUGACUACUCCCAGUGCCUUCAGACACAACCCUAAACGUAACCGUCUUCCCUCCUUCGCUCAUAUCCAAGAUAUACCCAAGCAUAUACAUCACAAGCUGAAACGUCCUCUUCUCAUCUCCCACCACUAAGCUAGGCAAACGGGUCUGAACAUCCAUCUCAAACCCGUAGCCUUUGUAAACGCUCAAGCAUUUCGCCACGCAGGCUGCUUCUCUUAUCAGAGAAUGGAGCUGAAACCUUUUGACCUCCAACGGAGACUUCCCGUUGUCUUUAGGAGAAAUGUCUAUCACGUCGUUGAUCAAAGCAGAGAGGACAGUACUCGUUUUCAUGAGCGCGUCGACGAUGAUCUUCUGGUCGAGGCUCAUGCUCUCAGACUGGAACAUCGAGAGGAGGCCGAGGAUCGUGUGCAUCGGCCUCCUCAUGCCGUGACUCAUGACCUUUUGGCAAGUGUUCCUCGCCUGGCUCGCCAUCAUCGCGUUCUGUUUCGCCCGGAGCAAAGCUCGGUUUUGAAUACCGAGCUUUUCUCUCAUCAGCUGCGACUCCUCGAGCACCGAGGCGUGCGAGAGAGCCACAGCUACUUGGUCAGCGACGACCUCAGCUAUCUCGAUCUCUCUGUCCGUCCAAACGCGAGCGUUCGCGUUUGGAAGGACCAGAACCAUUAUAGCGUAGGAAGUAUCAACAAACUCAGGAGUCCCUCCUUUGAAAUUCGACCCGUGGAGCAUCGGCAUCCGAAUAGCCGCCACGGGACCACUCUCAUCAGAACCACUGCUCUCAAUCGCAAGAAGAGAAUCUUUCCUCAAAAUCGCAACCACUUUCGCCUCUCUAACCUGAACAACAUCAGGAUCGUUGAUCGGCACCACUCUAAAGCUCCUCAUAGAAUUCGACCUCAGCUCAUGAGUCAAAUGCAUCUCUGUUCUGCUCUCGUUAGGCAUCCAGACAGCAGAGUUCUGCAAAUCAAGAAUCUUGGAGAGCUCGACGAGCGUCGUCCUCAGGAUCAUAUGCUUAUCAAGAGACUUCCUAAUCUCUCUAGUAAGCAUCCUAACGUGCACACUCAUCUCCUUCUGCCGUUUCAUCAGCCCAACCUCCUCGUUAAGCUCAAGCACGUUCUGCUUCAAGUAAAGCUCUCUGACUUUCCACUUCAGCAGCAAAGGGAUCAAAGUCAAGAGCGUGAUGGCCGUCGCGCACGAGACCAACGCCGUCAAGAACUUAAAGAUCGUGAGCCAUAGCAUGAGCUGGAACGAGUGGGGUCCAUAGUAGGUCCACGCGUUGAGGAGGUGGGUCAUACCGCAGAGGACGAUGAAGGCGAUGAACUGUACGAGUACCCAUUUAAAGGGAACGUUGGAGAAGCUGAUGAAGUAGAGAAGCUCGAGGGGGAUGGAGAAGUAGGCGAUGGCGAUUAGGAGAUCGCUCACUCUCUGGCAUUCUAGGAUUGUGUGGACGGUGAAGAAGUAGUAGCCUUCGUCGUCGCAGUUGCAGCUUCCGUAGUCGUUGUUGUCUCCGGUGACGAGGGCGAUUAGAGCGAAGAGAAGCAAGCCUAGACCUAAGGAUCUUAACAUCUUGAUAAGCUCGGCGUCAGAUCCAAUGGAAACGGAGAUUCAAUGUUAAAGGAGAGACCUUUCGAAUCUAGGAGAGGUGAUUAGAGAGACCCGUCUCGGUGAAACAGGAUUUGCAUCGGACGGAAUCUUUAUGUCGGGUCAAAUCUGAAAUUUUUUUCUUACAGAAGAGGAGAAACAGAACAGAAGAGAAGAGAAACCGAGUUUUGUCGGGGCGUGUUUGAUCUUUUUACGGGGGUUUCAGACUUGAGUCAGCAACAGUUCAAAGUCUUUUAAGACAAAAAGGAGCAGACUUUGAGCUCAAGCGGUUUCUGGAGAAAGUUGCUUAAUAAAGAAAAAAUGGGUUUUCAUGAACACAUAAAUGCAUCAUUAACAGGUUAAUUCCCUUACGAUAGAAUUUUUAAAAAAAAUUACAAGUGGUUGACAAAAAAAAAAUUACAAGUUGACAUAAAAUAACUAAAAAUAUUUUAAAAAGAUACACUUUUUACAUUUUCAAUGCAUUUUUUAAUCGAUAAUAGUUAUAAAUUUCAAAGAAAUUAAUUGUGAUUUUUGUUUUGUGCUUGACUAAAAAUUGUGAUCGAGGUAAAUAGUUAAUCACAAAAACAAUACAUUUAUAACUAAAAUUUGAGAUGUUUUAUUAAGAUGUAUAAAAAUUUUAAAAUAUGUAACAACUUAAAGCAGAAGAAGUAAUUACUAUGAACUUCAAUGUAGAAAAAAAUUAGUCAAAUAUUGAGGAAAUAUAAAGCAAACAAAAGAAGUGUAUUUGUAUUCAUAACAGAGCAUUUUCUUUUCAUGUGAGCAAAACAAUAACAAACUAUAUAAACAUAGGAGAAGAAAAGAGUGAGAAAAGAAAAGGAAUGAAAUGAAAGAGAAGCAGGAAAAAAAGGCUGUGGAGUUUAUACAUAUAUUAACCAAGAAAGAACAAAAAGCAUCACUCAACUUCUAUUAUCUCUGGUGAAAACACUUCAGAUAAGAUUCUGUCUUUUUAAGUCAUAUCUCUCUCUCAGUUCAGAUUCUUUCUCAGGGCUUCAGUUUCUAAUUUGGAUCUAAACCCUACACACGUCUCUGGAAGCUAAUCCGGCAUUUGCUGCUCGUCAUCUCCAUUCUCAAACGACUCAUGUCCUAGACGUCCUGCACAAGAUUACAUCCAUUAGGUACACAAGUCACAUUAUCCCCAAGGAGAGCUUUAGCUUUGCUUUAUCUCUACCAUUAUUACAUAGCAUUAGUUUUAAGAAAGUAUUGAGGCUUUCUUUACCUGACAAAUCAUACCCACCGCCACCACCUCUACCGUCAUGACCACUGCUGCCUCCUCCUCCCCAUUCAGAUGGCCGGGGAUGUGUCAUCUGCAUUCCCUGCGGCGCUUGCAUCAUGAAAUGAUGAGAUCCACCCAUACCGGUUUGUUGAUGUUGAUGGUGAUGAUGAUGCUGCUCAUCGGUUCCCCUCAUUGGAUUUCUACCAGGAGAUUCCAUAACAGAACGGAAGCCCAUGCCAAGCAACGGUCCAGGACCCGGUCCAGGUCCAGUGCUAGAGGGAGAAGUUAACCGACUUCCGCUGUUGGAAGCUUCCCCUUUCACACCACUCCCUGCAGCAUCCUUCUUUCUAUCAAGCUGAAACGUACCAAGAAUC
rnacentral:lncRNA from 1 species